ACGGAAGGCAGCAGUGGGGGAUAUUGGACAAUGGGGGAAACCCUGAUCCAGCGACGCCGCGUGAGUGAAGAAGUAUUUCGGUAUGUAAAGCUCUAUCAGCAGGGAAGAAAAAAUCAAAAUUGACUGUACCUGACUAAGAAGCUCCGGCUAACUACGUGCCAGCAGCCGCGGUAAUACGUAGGGAGCGAGCGUUGUCCGGAUUUACUGGGUGUAAAGGGUGCGUAGGCGGGCUUGCAAGUCAGGCGUGAAAUACCGGGGCUUAACUCCGGGGCUGCGCUUGAAACUGUAAGUCUUGAGUGAAGUAGAGGCAGGCGGAAUUCCCAGUGUAGCGGUGAAAUGCGUAGAUAUUGGGAGGAACACCAGUGGCGAAGGCGGCCUGCUGGGCUUUAACUGACGCUGAGGCACGAAAGUAUGGGGAGCAAACAGGAUUAGAUACCCUGGUA
rnacentral:rRNA from 1 species